rnacentral:lncRNA from 1 species
AAUCCCUCAUACGUCACGACGAAGUGGUGAGUUCAAUCCAAAACGGAUUUCCAAAAAGUACUUAUGGGCCCAAAACGGACAACGUGUACGAAAGUUACGCUCAAUUCUUCUUACGCCGAAUCUCCAAGCGUUCCAAAUAUGCAAGUGCUCAUUCUAUCGAAAAAUGGCUGAAAUAACUCAUACGUCACGAAGAAGUUGUGAGUUCAAUCCAAAACGGUUGCUACAUUUCCAAAAAGCACUUAUGGGCCCAAAACGGACAACGUGUGGAAAAGUUAAGCUCAAUUCUUCUUACGCCGACUCUCCAAGCGUUCCAAAUAUGCAAGUGCUCGUUUUUUUGAAAAAUUGACGAAAUCCCUCAUACGUCACGAUGAAGUUGUGAGUUCAAUCCAAAACGGACGCUACGUUUCCAAAAAGUACUUAUGGG